GAUUUCUGGUUUGACAUGCCUGGCCCGCCGGGGUUACCCGUGUGAGUGCCGGUGCGCGUCUACCAUCCUUCUGGAGAACGGCCUUACCCUUCACUGGGCCGAGGUCGCGAUCCAGAUCUUUUACUUUGAAAAAAUUAGAGUGUUUAAAGCAGGCUUACGCUGUGAAUACAUUAGCAUGGAAUAAUAAUCUAGGACUUCGGUUCUAUUUUGUUGGUUUCUAUAACUGAAGUAAUGAUUGAUAGGGAUAGUUGGGGGUGCUAGUAUUGGCCGGCCAGAGGUGAAAUUCUUGGAUUCGGUCAAGACUAACUUAUGCGAAAGCAUU
rnacentral:rRNA from 1 species